GGCUAUCAUGCAAGUCGAGCGCGCCCUUCGGGGUGAGCGGCGGACGGGUGAGNCCCCUUNUAAGGAAUAUGCCCUUCUCUAAGGAAUAGCCUCUGGCCCCUNGANAGUAAUACCUUAUACGCCCUUUGGGGGAAAGAUUUAUCGGAGAAGGAUUAGCCCGCGUUAGAUUAGGUAGUUGGUGGGGUAAUGGCCUACCAAGCCUACGAUCUAUAGCUGGUUUGAGAGGAUGAUCAGCCACACUGGGACUGAGACACGGCCCAGACUCCUACGGGAGGCAGCAGUAGGGAAUCUUAGACAAUGGGGGCAACCCUGAUCUAGCCAUGCCGCGUGUGUGAUGAAGGCCCUAGGGUCGUAAAGCACUUUCGCCAGAGAUGAUAAUGACAGUAUCUGGUAAAGAAACCCCGGCUAACUCCGUGCCAGCAGCCGCGGUAAUACGGAGGGGGUUAGCGUUGUUCGGAAUUACUGGGCGUAAAGCGCACGUAGGCGGAUUAGUA
rnacentral:rRNA from 1 species